AUUGAACGCUGGCGGCAUGCCUUACACAUGCAAGUCGAACGGCAGCGCGGACUUCGGUCUGGCGGCGAGUGGCGAACGGGUGAGUAAUAUAUCGGAACGUACCCAAGAGUGGGGGAUAACGUAGCGAAAGUUACGCUAAUACCGCAUACGAUCUAAGGAUGAAAGCAGGGGACCGCAAGGCCUCGUGCUCCUGGAGCGGCCGAUAUCUGAUUAGCUAGUUGGUGGGGUAAAGGCCCACCAAGGCAUCGAUCAGUAGCUGGUCUGAGAGGACGACCAGCCACACUGGAACUGAGACACGGUCCAGACUCCUACGGGAGGCAGCAGUGGGGAAUUUUGGACAAUGGGGGCAACCCUGAUCCAGCAAUGCCGCGUGAGUGAAGAAGGCCCUCGGGUUGUAAAGCUCUUUUGUCAGGGAAGAAAAGGCUGUGGCUAAUAUCCACGGCUCAUGACGGUACCUGAAGAAUAAGCACCGGCUAACUACGUGCCAGCCGCCGCUGUAAUAC
rnacentral:rRNA from 1 species